GACGAACGCUGGCGGCGUGCUUAACACAUGCAAGUCGAAGGGAAAGGCCCUGCUUUUGUGGGGUGCUCGAGUGGCGAACGGGUGAGUAACACGUGAGUAACCUGCCCUUGACUUUGGGAUAACUUCAGGAAACUGGGGCUAAUACCGGAUAGGAGCUCCUGCUGCAUGGUGGGGGUUGGAAAGUUUCGGCGGUUGGGGAUGGACUCGCGGCUUAUCAGCUUGUUGGUGGGGUAGUGGCUUACCAAGGCUUUGACGGGUAGCCGGCCUGAGAGGGUGACCGGCCACAUUGGGACUGAGAUACGGCCCAGACUCCUACGGGAGGCAGCAGUGGGGAAUAUUGCACAAUGGGCGGAAGCCUGAUGCAGCAACGCCGCGUGCGGGAUGACGGCCUUCGGGUUGUAAACCGCUUUCGCCUGUGACGAAGCGUGAGUGACGGUAAUGGGUAAAGAAGCACCGGCUAACUACGUG
rnacentral:rRNA from 1 species